GCGAAAGCUGUGCUAAUACCGCAUACGAUCUACGGAUGAAAGCGGGGGAUCGCAAGACCUCGCGCGAUUGGAGCGGCCGAUAUCAGAUUAGCUAGUUGGUGGGGUAAAAGCCCACCAAGGCGACGAUCUGUAGCUGGUCUGAGAGGACGACCAGCCACACUGGAACUGAGACACGGUCCAGACUCCUACGGGAGGCAGCAGUGGGGAAUUUUGGACAAUGGGCGCAAGCCUGAUCCAGCAAUGCCGCGUGCAGGAUGAAGGCCUUCGGGUUGUAAACUGCUUUUGUACGGAACGAAACGGCGGGCUCUAACAAAGCCCGCUAAUGACGGUACCGUAAGAAUAAGCACCGGCUAACUACGUGCCAGCAGCCGCGGUAAUACGUAGGGUGCAAGCGUUAAUCGGAAUUACUGGGCGUAAAGCGUGCGCAGGCGGUGAUGUAAGACAGAUGUGAAAUCCCCGGGCUCAACCUGGGACCUGCAUUUGUGACUGCAUCGCUAGAGUACGGUAGAGGGGGAUGGAAUUCCGCGUGUAGCAGUGAAAUGCGUAGAUAUGCGGAGGAACACCGAUGGCGAAGGCAAUCCCCUGGACCUGUACUGACGCUCAUGCACGAAAGCGUGGGGAGCAAACAGGAUUAGAUACCCUGGUAGUCCACGCCCUAAACGAUGUCAACUGGUUGUUGGGUCUUCACUGACUCA
rnacentral:rRNA from 1 species